rnacentral:rRNA from 1 species
AGUGAACGCUGGCGGUAGGCCUAACACAUGCAAGUCGAACGGCAGCACAGGAGAGCUUGCUCUCUGGGUGGCGAGUGGCGGACGGGUGAGGAAUACAUCGGAAUCUACUCUGUCGUGGGGGAUAACGUAGGGAAACUUACGCUAAUACCGCAUACGACCUACGGGUGAAAGCAGGGGACCUUCUGGCCUUGUGCGAUUGAAUGAGCCGAUGUCGGAUUAGCUAGUUGGCGGGGUAAAGGCCCACCAAGGCGACGAUCCGUAGCUGGUCUGAGAGGAUGAUCAGCUACACUGGAACUGAGACACGGUCCAGACUCCUACGGGAGGCAGCAGUGGGGAAUAUUGGACAAUGGGCGCAAGCCUGAUCCAGCCAUACCGCGUGGGUGAAGAAGGCCUUCGGGUUGUAAAGCCCUUUUGUUGGGAAAGAAAUCCAGCUGGCUAAUACCCGGUUGGGAUGACGGUACCCAAAGAAUAAGCACCGGCUAACUUCGUGCCAGCCGCCGCUGUAA